GGGGUGGUAGCUCAGCUGGUUAGAGCACGCGGCUCAUAACCGCACGGUCACGGGUUCAAGUCCCGUCCACCCUACCG
rnacentral:tRNA from 1 species